rnacentral:rRNA from 1 species
AUUGAACGCUGGCGGCAGGCUUAACACAUGCAAGUCGAACGGUAACGACGGGAGCUUGCUCCCGGGCGACGAGUGGCGGACGGGUGAGUAACGCGUAGGAAUCUACCCAACUGUGGGGGACAACCCGGAGAAAUCCGGGCUAAUACCGCAUAAGCCCUACGGGGGAAAGCGGGGGAUCUUCGGACCUCGCGCGGUUGGAUGAGCCUGCGUCGGAUUAGCUUGUUGGUAGGGUAACGGCCUACCAAGGCGACGAUCCGUAGCUGGUCUGAGAGGAUGAUCAGCCACACUGGGACUGAGACACGGCCCAGACUCCUACGGGAGGCAGCAGUGGGGAAUAUUGGACAAUGGGGGCAACCCUGAUCCAGCCAUGCCGCGUGUGUGAAGAAGGCCUUCGGGUUGUAAAGCACUUUCAGUAGAGAAGAAAAGCUUACGGUUAAUACCCGUGAGUCUUGACGUAACCUACAGAAGAAGCACCGGCUAACUCCGUG